rnacentral:misc_RNA from 1 species
AAAGAACAAGCUAGAAAUUCGUCUACAAAUAAUGAAACUGGAAACCAUAAUCAGGAAUCUAACUGUCCUACAUCUAGCUGCCUGAAUGGUGACACCGGUGAUGUGUUUUCUCCAUUGCCUUCUGAUCUGCAAGUCUCUGCAUCUGUUAAAUUUUCACCCAAACUUGACUUUGAUGAUGGUGAUAUUGAUGAUGAGUUAGAUCCUGCGAUGAAGGAAGAAAUUGACAGGGAGGU